rnacentral:rRNA from 1 species
UACGGAGGAUGCAAGCGUUAUCCGGAAUGAUUGGGCGUAAAGCGUCCGCAGGUGGCUAUGUAAGUCUGCUGUUAAAGAGUGAGGCUCAACCUCAUAAGAGCAGUGGAAACUACAUAGCUAGAGUGCGUUCGGGGCAGAGGGAAUUCCUGGUGUAGCGGUGAAAUGCGUAGAUAUCAGGAAGAACACCGGUGGCGAAAGCGCUCUGCUAGGCCGCAACUGACACUGAGGGACGAAAGUGUGGGGAGCGAACAGG